CUCUACAAUAGGCUGCCGUGCGUAAAUGCAAACUUCAACACCUUGCAGCGCAAUCAAGUGAACAUUUGUUUCCAUCCAGCACUCUGGUGCGCAGAUCCAACUUGCGUGCCAAAGUCGCGUUUACUGUUAACUUCAACGUGAGCUUGGACAGGGACAUGCAAAAAGGUUCCCCAGCGCUACAAAUGCAUCCAAACAUCCAUAUGCAAAUCAACACGGUGCUGACGUCAACGCAGCCAGCCAGCCAGACGAGCAGCAGGCAGGCGGGUUGCCGGCGCUGCGCUCUAACCCAUACAAACACUGAGAAAGCGAGACACCUAGGGGGCAGUCUCAUGUCAAACGGCUGUGGUAGAGUACAGUAAGACAGUGAAAGCAAAUACUGCUGUCACUUCUGGUGUGUACAACCAUGUGCAACAGCAUGAAUGCCACAAAGAGACGCUGUUUGAUUUUUCACGCUGAGACUUCAAAGAAUUACAAAAGUCACAGAGUUCCAGUGGAGAAAUUGGCGAGGCAGCGGGAUCCAGCCAGAGAGAUACUAUGACAGUGGGCUUUCUGACCCAUCUUUGAGAGUAGUCAUGGUAGACAACAUGACUCAAGAGCUAGUUUGUCAUGUGUGAAUAAUGUAUGUUAUACUCUUUAACAUCCUAUCUGCCACUGCUGCAAUGACCUACUGUCCCCCACUGAUAUCAGUAAAGCUCCAUUAAAUCUAGUCCAAUCGCCAAAAUAAAUUGCAUUGUGACAAACUGAAAAAUGAUUCAAAGCUCAGUUAAUUUAGUGGGCAACAUAAUCCAUUCUGAUUAGGAAAUGUUUUAAUGUUGGUCUAGAUUUAGUUUCUAAGCAGUUUUCAAUGUCAUAUC